UUGGGGAGGGAGAGGGGAAAUUGGGGCGUGUCCCAGGUUGCGGACGUCGGGGCGAAGCUCACCGUGGCAGAGGGCACGGCGGGGCUCCAACGGCGACGGAGAAACGGGCUCGGGUGGCGGCGGUUAAUGGCGGCGGCGCUUUGGCGUGUGAGCAGCGUGGGGGAGGUGGAAAGGAGGUCUGCAGUAUUCCAGAUUUCCAGCGCCGCUUCCUUUUCUCCAUCGUGCUCUCCUCCGCCUCCGGUCACCAUUAACCUAGCCGCCACUCUCCUCGGUGCGGCGGAGCCCGCCUGCCCGGAUCCCGGACACCGGGGCGACCUCAAGUGUUCCACAUGCAUCAUGGGACACGACGCUCACCGCUCGCUAUCGCUGGCGGACUACGGACGACUGGAGCUGGAUUUCUGUGGAGAAGUGGAUUGCUGA
rnacentral:misc_RNA from 1 species